rnacentral:rRNA from 1 species
UACGUAGGGUGCGAGCGUUAAUCGGAAUUACUGGGCGUAAAGCGUGCGCAGGCGGUUAUGUAAGACAGGUGUGAAAUCCCCGGGCUUAACCUGGGAACUGCAUUUGUGACUGCAUAGCUAGAGUACGGGAGAGGAGAGUGGAAUUCCUGGUGUAGCGGUGAAAUGCGCAGAUAUCAGGAAGAACACCCGUGGCGAAAGCGGCUCUCUGGAACGGUACUGACGCUGAGACGCGAAAGCGUGGGGAGCGAACAGG